AAAUAUUAACCUACACCCACUAACGCCAGGGUAUUACGAGCCCUAGCUUAAAACCCAAAGGACUUGACGGUGUCCCAUCCAACUAGAGGAGCCUGUUCUAUAAUCGAUAACCCCCGAUACACCUAACCCCCCCUUGCCAAUCAGCCUGUAUACCUCCGUCGCAAGCUUACCAUAUGAAUGCCAACAGUAAGUUUAAAGGUCACAACACCCACACGUCAGGUCAAGGUGCAGCUAAUGGAGGGGCAAGCAAUGGGCUACAAUUUCUAAUCUAGAACACACGAAAUGCUUCAUGAAACAACCACGAAGGUGGAUUUAGCAGUAAAAAGAAAAUAAAACGUCCUUUUUAACAGAGCCCUGGGACGUGU
rnacentral:rRNA from 1 species